rnacentral:ncRNA from 1 species
CUUACGGGACGACCCGUAAGCGUAUCUCACAACGGGGACGGCCCC